UGUAUUCUCAGCGCCACAUGAAGCAG
rnacentral:piRNA from 1 species